rnacentral:misc_RNA from 1 species
GGGAAAGAGCUCUGGUAUCAGCCCAUACCAAUUACUCAAUCCUGCACAUUUUCGAUAGAUCAAAUCUGCCAAUUCAGGAUUUGGUUUAAGCAAUUCUGACAUGGCCCCACGAAUGGAGGGAGCACUGACCCAACUAGAGAGAACGCCGUCUCGAAUGUUGCUGCAGAGCUCUUCCCAUACUUGCUCAAAAGUCCUGAAAGAAUGGACAAUGCUGUGUGCAAAAGUGGAGAACACAAACUCGACUUCAUCCCGGAAGAUUAACCCACACAAGAGAUGGCAAUACAAAGAUUGGUGGAAGUCGGGGCCAAAGAUGACUUCAUCC